UAAAACUUCUUAGAAAGGUUCACCUCUUGAAAUCAUAUAGAAGAUGAUUCAAGUGUGUCCUUAGGAAUGGGGCAACAAAGCAAGUAAAAAUAAAGGCAAGGUGAUACCGGAUGCCAUCAAUGGUCUUAUACCAAUCUCACAAACAAAAGUGAAUACCGGAUACCAAUAAAUGGAUUUACACCAAUCUCCUAAAGUAAAAC
rnacentral:lncRNA from 1 species